GUGGCAGCCGCCGCGGUAAAACCAGCACCUCAAGUGGUCAGGAGGAUUAUUGGGCCUAAAGCAUCCGUAGCCUGCUCUGUAAGUUUUCGGUUAAAUCUAUAUGCUCAACAUAUAGGCUGCCGGAAAUACUGCAGAGCUAGGAAGUGGGAGAGGUAGACGGUACUCCGUAGGAAGGGGUAAAAUCCUUUGAUCUAUGGAUGACCACCUGUGGCGAAGGCGGUCUACCAGAACACGUUCGACGGUGAGGGAUGAAAGCUGGGGGAGCAAACCGGAUUAGAUACCCGGGUAGUCCCAGCUGUAAACUAUGCAAACUCGGUGAUGCAUUGGCUUGUGGCCAGUGCAGUGCCGCAGGGAAGCCGUUAAGUUUGCCGCCUGGGAAGUACGUACGCAAGUAUGAAACUUAAAGGAAUUGGCGGGGGAGCACCACAAGGGGUGAAGCCUGCGGUUCAAUUGGAGUCAACGCCAGAAAUCUUACCCGGAGAGACAGCAGAAUGAAGGUCAGGCUGAAGACUUUACCAGACAAGCUGAGAAGUGGUGCAUGGCCGUCGCCAGCUCGUGCCGUGAGAUGUCCUGUUAAGUCAGGUAACGAGCGAGAUCCUUGCCUCUAGUUGCCACUAUUACUCUCAGGAGUAGUAGGGCGAAUUAGAGGGACUGCCGUAGUUAAUACGGAGGAAGGAGAGGGCCACGGCAGGUCAGUAUGCCCUGAAACUCUGGGGCCACACGCGGGCUGCAAUGAUAGUGACAAUGUGUUCCGAAUCCGAGAGGAGGAGGUAAUCCUCAAACGCUAUCACAGUUAUGACUGAGGGCUGCAACUCGCCCUCACGAAUAUGGAAUCCCUAGUAACUGCGUGUCAUUACCGCGCGGUGAAUACGUCCCUGCUCCUUGCACACACUGCCCGUC
rnacentral:rRNA from 1 species